AGGGUGCAAGCGUUACUCGGAAUUACUGGGCAUAAAGGGUGCGUAGGCGGCUUGUUAAGUCGGGGGUGAAAGUUUUCGGCCCAACCGGAAAAUUGCCUUUGAUACUGGCGAGCUUGAGUGCGUGAGGGGUAACCGGAACGAGUGGUGUAGCGGUGAAAUGCGUAGAUAUCACUCGGAAGGCCAACGGCGAAGGCAGGUUACUGGUACGCAACUGACGCUGAGGCACGAAAGCGUGGGGAGCAAACAGG
rnacentral:rRNA from 1 species